CUGAACACUACAAAAGAUGACCAUGGCAGAUCUGAAGGAGGUGGUGCAAGACAUGGAGAGUACCGAUCGAUAGAGUGGGAUCACUCUACGGGCCGGGAGUUUGACACCCUUGCUCCCAGUGGUGGGAUUCAGCCAGUUCACACUGGUUCGGGAAAACAGGGAGUUGGAAAGACCCACUUUGUCUGUCCACCUGGCCCCACCCCUCCCAGGAGUCUCCACACAGCCCGUUUUUAAUGCCAGGUAUGUGCAGGGGCCGCACGGAGGGCCUGAGCGGGCAAAAAUCGUGCCUUCCAGAAGUCUGAAAACGGGCCUGUUUCCAGCUUUUGAAGGAGCUCUGGAGCCCACAGGAGCCUGGGGAGGGUGAAAAAUCUCCCCACCAUGGUGCAGGAGGCCAAGUAGGCCAUGCCCACCAUUCCCACACCCACCCAGCAACUGGGCAGAUAAUUGGUUGUUAAUAAUUUAGGAUCCUACCACUGACUGCACCUUAGAUAGGAUUUUUUAAAUCAACCAAAAAACAAUGUCCUGAUUUUUUUUCUCACUUUUCUGUAUUUAUUUUUGUAUUGUAGAAUACCUAUAAUGGACCCGAAAUCUUUUAUUAAAAACCCACCAUCCCCAGUCCAGAUGGUCUCUGCCCAGACUUUUCAUCAAGGAUAUCAUUGCCGACUCAAAUGAUUCUUUUUACUUGGUGUUGAACCUUUAUCUGAUUCCGACUAUACAAAAGCUUCUUUUUGCAAAUAAAGUAACAUGACUUAACCAAUGUACCUUACAGAACAACA